rnacentral:rRNA from 1 species
UACGUAGGGUGCGAGCGUUAAUCGGAAUUACUGGGCGUAAAGCGUGCGCAGGCGGUUCGUGAUGUCUGAUGUGAAAGCCCCGGGCUCAACCUGGGAAUUGCAUUGGAAACUAGCGGGCUGGAGUGUGGCAGAGGGGGGUGGAAUUCCACGUGUAGCAGUGAAAUGCGCAGAUAUCGGGAGGAACACCAAUGGCGAAGGCAGCUCGCUGGGACGUUACUGACGCUGAGACGCGAAAGCGUGGGGAGCAAACAGG